UACGGGGGGGGCGAGCGUUGUCCGGAUUUAUUGGGCGUAAAGCGCGCGUAGGCGGCGCGGUAUGUCGUGCGUGAAAUCUCCCGGCUUAACUGGGAGGGGCCGUGCGAAACUGCCGGGCUUGAGGUCAGAAGGGGAAAGUGGAAUUCCGGGUGUAGUGGUGGAAUACGUAGAUAUCCGGAGGAACACCAGCGGCGAAGGCGGCUUUCUGGUCUGAUACUGACGCUGAGGCGCGAAGGCGUGGGGAGCGAUCCGG
rnacentral:rRNA from 1 species